AACGAACGCUGGCGGCAUGCCUAACACAUGCCAGUCGAACGAGACCUUCGGGUCUAGUGGCGCACGGGUGCGUAACGCGUGGGAACCUGCCCUUAGGUUCGGAAUAACUCCCCGAAAGGGGUGCUAAUACCGGAUAAUGUCUUCGGACCAAAGAUUUAUCGCCUUUGGAUGGGCCCGCGUUGGAUUAGCUAGUUGGUAGGGUAAAAGCCUACCAAGGCGACGAUCCAUAGCUGGUCUGAGAGGAUGAUCAGCCACACUGGGACUGAGACACGGCCCAGACUCCUACGGGAGGCAGCAGUGGGGAAUAUUGAACAAUGGGCGAAAGCCUGAUCCAGCAAUGCCGCGUGAGUGAUGAAGGCCUUAGGGUUGUAAAGCUCUUUUACCCGGGAUGAUAAUGACAGUACCGGGAGAAUAAGCUCCGGCUAACUCCGUG
rnacentral:rRNA from 1 species